rnacentral:rRNA from 1 species
GAUGAACGCUGGCGGCGUGCCUAAUACAUGCAAGUCGAGCGAACAGACGAGGAGCUUGCUCCUCUGACGUUAGCGGCGGACGGGUGAGUAACACGUGGAUAACCUACCUAUAAGACUGGGAUAACUUCGGGAAACCGGAGCUAAUACCGGAUAAUAUAUUGAACCGCAUGGUUCAAUAGUGAAAGACGGUUUUGCUGUCACUUAUAGAUGGAUCCGCGCCGCAUUAGCUAGUUGGUAAGGUAACGGCUUACCAAGGCAACGAUGCGUAGCCGACCUGAGAGGGUGAUCGGCCACACUGGAACUGAGACACGGUCCAGACUCCUACGGGAGGCAGCAGUAGGGAAUCUUCCGCAAUGGGCGAACGCCUGACGGAGCAACGCCGCGUGAGUGAUGAAGGUCUUCGGAUCGUAAAACUCUGUUAUUAGGGAAGAACAAAUGUGUAAGUAACUAUGCACGUCUUGACGGUACCUAAUCAGAAAGCCACGGCUAACUACGUG